rnacentral:rRNA from 1 species
GACGAACGCUGGCGGCGUGCUUAACACAUGCAAGUCGAACGGAGUGGCGAACGGGUGAGUAACACGUGGGUGACCUGCCCUGCACUUCGGGAUAAGCACGGGAAACUGGGUCCAAUACCGGCGAGUGUGGGAUGGGCCCGCGGCCUAUCAGCUUGCUGGUGGGGUAUUGGCCUACCAAGGGGGCGACGGGUAGCCGGCCUGAGAGGGUGGACGGCCACAUUGGGACUGAGAGACGGCCCAGAGGCGUACGGGGGGCAGGAGGGGGGAAUAUUGCACAAUGGGCGCAAGCCUGAGGAGGGGACGCCGCGGUGGGGAGGAAGGCCUUCGGGUUGUAAACUCCUUACACCAUCGACGCGGUAGAUGGAGAAGAAGCACCGGCUAACUACGUGCCAGCCGCCGCGGUAAUAC